rnacentral:rRNA from 1 species
AGUGAACGCUGGCGGUAGGCCUAACACAUGCAAGUCGAACGGCAGCACAGUAAGAGCUUGCUCUUACGGGUGGCGAGUGGCGGACGGGUGAGGAAUACAUCGGAAUCUACUUUUUCGUGGGGGAUAACGUAGGGAAACUUACGCUAAUACCGCAUACGACCUACGUGUGAAAGCAGGGGAUCUUCGGACCUUGCGCGAUUGAAUGAGCCGAUGUCGGAUUAGCUAGUUGGCGGGGUAAAGGCCCACCAAGGCGACGCUCCGUAGCUGGUCUGAGAGGAUGAUCAGCCACACUGGAACUGAGACACGGUCCAGACUCCUACGGGAGGCAGCAGUGGGGAAUAUUGGACAAUGGGCGCAAGCCUGAUCCAGCCAUACCGCGUGGGUGAAGAAGGCCUUCGGGUUGUAAAGCCCUUUUGUUGGGAAAGAAAAGCAGCAGGUUAAUACCCCGCUGUUCUGACGGUACCCAAAGAAUAAGCACCGGCUAACUUCGUG